GAUGAACGCUGGCGGCGUGCCUAAUACAUGCAAGUCGAGCGAACAGACGAGGAGCUUGCUCCUCUGACGUUAGCGGCGGACGGGUGAGUAACACGUGGAUAACCUACCUAUAAGACUGGGAUAACUUCGGGAAACCGGAGCUAAUACCGGAUAAUAUAUUGAACCGCAUGGUUCAAUAGUGAAAGACGGUUUUGCUGUCACUUAUAGAUGGAUCCGCGCCGCAUUAGCUAGUUGGUAAGGUAACGGCUUACCAAGGCAACGAUGCGUAGCCGACCUGAGAGGGUGAUCGGCCACACGGGAACUGAGACACGGUCCAGACUACUACGGGAGGCAGCAGUAGGGAAUCUUCCGCAAUGGGCGAAAGCUUGACAGAGCAACGCCGCGUGAGUGAUGAAGGUCUUCGGAUCGUAAAACUCUGUUAUUAGGGAAGAACAAAUGUGUAAGUAACUAUGCACGUCUUGACGGUACCUAAUCAGAAAGCCACGGCUAACUACGUG
rnacentral:rRNA from 1 species